UGGGGAAUAUUGGACAAUGGACCGAGAGUCUGAUCCAGCAAUUCUGUGUGCACGAUGAAGUUUUUCGGAAUGUAAAGUGCUUUCAGUUGGGAAGAAACAAAUGACGGUACCAACAGAAGAAGUGACGGCUAAAUACGUGCCAGCAGCCGCGGUAAUACGUAUGUCACGAGCGUUAUCCGGAUUUAUUGGGCGUAAAGCGCGUCUAGGUGGUUAUAUAAGUCUGAUGUGAAAAUGCAGGGCUCAACUCUGUAUUGCGUUGGAAACUGUAUAACUAGAGUACUGGAGAGGUAAGCGGAACUACAAGUGUAGAGGUGAAAUUCGUAGAUAUUUGUAGGAAUGCCGAUGGGGAAGCCAGCUUACUGGACAGAUACUGACGCUGAAGCGCGAAAGCGUGGGUAGCAAACAGGAUUAGAUACCCUGGUAGUCCACGCCGUAACGAUGAUUACUAGGUGUUGGGGGUCGAACCUCAGCGCCCAAGCAAACGCGAUAAGUAAUCCGCCUGGGAGUACGUACGCAAGUAUG
rnacentral:rRNA from 1 species